UACGAAGGGGGCUAGCGUUGCUCGGAAUCACUGGGCGUAAAGGGUGCGUAGGCGGGUCUUUAAGUCAGGGGUGAAAUCCUGGAGCUCAACUCCAGAACUGCCUUUGAUACUGAAGAUCUUGAGUUCGGGAGAGGUGAGUGGAACUGCGAGUGUAGAGGUGAAAUGCGUAGAUAUCGAGAGGAACACCUGCGGCGAAGGCGGGUUGCUGGGCUGAUACUGACGCUGAUGCGCGAAAGCCAGGGUAGCAAACGGG
rnacentral:rRNA from 1 species